ACAUCGUACACUGACAUAUUAACUUAGAGACUUAUUUUGACUCAUUAAUUUGGGAUUUUUUCAAGGGUAGAAUUCAUACCAGAUAUAAAAGAUUUAUAACUCAGGUUGUAAGGUAACAAACUUGUAUACAUUAAAAUCAAGGACGUGUUCUGUAUAAAUAAAAUUGUACGUGAAGGAUAAGGUAAAAUAACGAUAAGUCACUGUAAUAAAAACCAGCAUUGGGUCUUGAGCUUCGUCUUACACGUGUCCAGCAGGAGCAAGUGACACGGAGGACAGCACCUCCCCGACCAGCCUUAAUAUCAGCAUCGUCUUCAGUGACUCCGUCUUCUCCCCACUGACCGGAGGAGCGGUAGUCAACAAAAGCUUGGGUGGCAACGGAGGAGCGAGGGAUCCAAGCUUCACCUUGGCCGCCCUACGCCAGCCCGGCAUUCACUUAGAGGAGGGCGAAGAUAUAGAUUCCUUCAUUGCAAACCUUACCAUUCCUCCACCAGCUGAAGGAGGUGUGAACCUUCAGACGUGCGCGGAGAACCGUAAGAUGGGGAACGAGUACGACAUCUCUGCGUUUAUUAUCCCGCCGCCUCCUCCACCCUCGGACGAGAAGGACAACAGGUCGUUCGACAUUAUACGGAGCCAAAGAAGGAAUCAGUAGGAUGGUGUGCGAGGACAACAGCGACAUGGAGGUCGGGGAGAAGGACCACGACAUGGGCGAGGUGCACGUCAGCUCAGAGACGAUGGCCAAGCGUGCCAACCUAGCGGGGAAGGUCGCAUCUCUGCAGAGGCGCUUCGAAGUUCCUCCCAGGACUGCCUACGGUAGUCUGCCUACCUCAAGUGCCUCCGUAGACAAUCGUCAGUUGCUACCGAGAUCAAAUAAUUCUAAUGUAGGACAUGAACUGCAUGCCAAAUUGGCACAGGCAUUAGAGGAAAAUGAUAAGAUGUUCAAAGGUUUCGACACUCAACAAAUGACGAGUGCCAAAAAUACCGGCGGAAGUCGGGAGAGCGGCGACUCCAAGCAUCCGUCGGUCACGGCCAGAGUACGAACCUUCAGCUCUGGGGGAAACUGGACCGCCUCUUCUCUUCAGCGCCAAAAGACCGUGCCAACCAGUAAGGCAGAGGGAAAAUAGGAGGACUCUCCACCUCCCCCUCCUCCACGAACGCCCAUCACACGAACCGGCACUCUGACUAACCCAAAGAAAUCCAAGCCUUCUCGUCCCUCGUCAAAAAUCCAGAGAAGUAUAUCUAUGAGCACAGGUAACCUCUCCAAGUCUGCCUCUCAAGACGACAUGACGAGUCACGCCAGUUACAUCACCAUCCUGAAGUCGAGCACCAAAGCCUCGGCCUCCAGCGAAGACGUCAGCCAAGCCAAAGCCUCCCCGGGGUCCCCCUCCAAACAAAGGGUAGCCUCCAGUAACGAUUCUCUCGCGUCGUCCUCCAGUGAAUUCCUCUACUGAAGAAUUACUCUUAAAAUUUUCAAUAAAUCUCUAAACAUCAUUAAUGAACUACAGCUCAGCCAGUCUGGAGGACAAUGUGAAGGCAGGUAUGCAGAACAAAGGCCUUCGUUCACCAUCACCAGCGCGUAAGGAGUCCCUCGCCAGAUAACUCAGAGCGGCCACCCUCGGUGCCUUCCAGACUUCGCAAGCCACAGCUCAGCCCAACUACUUCUCCUACGAAUAAUCUGCCAGGCACACACCGUCUGCGUCCUUCGGGCAAAUUAAUGGCUCCUUCCGGACCUACCGGCGUAAGGCUCCCGCGAGCAGUCCCACUUCUCCUCGAGGCAGGGCUGGAUUCAGGAGUGGGCAAAGUGGGCAGCUGCCCAGGGGCCUCCACAUCUUACAAUAUUUUAUUUGGAUUAUUUUUGUUUUCAUCCUUUAAAAUUCAUGUUUAUCUAAUCCAUCACG
rnacentral:lncRNA from 1 species